rnacentral:tRNA from 1 species
GGGCUUGUAGCUCAGUUGGGAGAGCGCUGCGUUCGCAACGCAGAGGUCAUGGGUUCGAAUCCCAUCAGGUCCA